AGUGAACGCUGGCGGCAGGCCUAACACAUGCAAGUCGAACGGAAGCACAGUAAUUGCUUGCUCUUACGGGUGGCGAGUGGCGGACGGGUCAGGAAUACAUCGGAAUCUACUUUUUCGUGGGGGUUAACGUAGGGAAACUUACUCUAAUACCGCAUACGACGUACGGGUGAAAGCAGGGGAUCUUUGGACCUUGCGUGAUUGAACGAGCCGAUGUCGGAUUAGUUAGUUGGCGGGGUAAAGGCCCACCAAGGCGACGAUCCGUAGCUGGUCUGAGAGGAUGAUCAGCCAGACUGGAACGGAGGAACGGUCCAGACUCCUACGGGAGGGCGCAGUGGGGAAUAUUGGGGAAUGGGCGCAAGCCUUAUCCAGCCAUACGGCGUGGGUGAGGAAGGCCUUCGGGUUGUAAAGCCCUUUUGUUGGGAAAGAAAAGCAGUAGGUUAAUACCGCGCUGUUCUGACGGUACCCAAAGAAUAAGCACCGGCUAACUUCGUG
rnacentral:rRNA from 1 species